GGCUGAAUGGCUCAGUUGGUAAGAGUACUAGUGGCGCAAUCACUUAGAGGUCCCUGGUUCAAAUCCAGGUUCAGCUA